rnacentral:rRNA from 1 species
UAAAACUCAAAUGAAUUGACGGGGGCCCGCACAAGCGGUGGAGCAUGUGGUUUAAUUCGAUGCAACGCGAAGAACCUUACCUGGUCUUGACAUCCACGGAAGUUUUCAGAGAUGAGAAUGUGCCUUCGGGAACCGUGAGACAGGUGCUGCAUGGCUGUCGUCAGCUCGUGUUGUGAAAUGUUGGGUUAAGUCCCGCAACGAGCGCAACCCUUAUCCUUUGUUGCCAGCGGUCCGGCCGGGAACUCAAAGGAGACUGCCAGUGAUAAACUGGAGGAAGGUGGGGAUGACGUCAAGUCAUCAUGGCCCUUACGACCAGGGCUACACACGUGCUACAAUGGCGCAUACAAAGAGAAGCGACCUCGCGAGAGCAA